AGCCGCCUAAGCACUCUAGAAU
rnacentral:snRNA from 1 species